rnacentral:rRNA from 1 species
GCUAGCAGCCAUAUCACUCUGCAAAGCACAACUGGCAACCCACUGAAACUAAGCAGAUGUGAAUCUGGUCAGUACCCAGAUGAGAGACCUUCUGGGAAAAACUAAGGUUGCUGCUGGAA